CUUACUGUCAGCAAGGAAACAGGGUUCUCUCAGUUUGAAAUGCUGAGGAAAGAAAGUCUGUGAAAGCAGAGUGGGCCAGGCUCCUCUGGAUCAGCAGAGAAGGAGUAGGAAGCCUAUGGUUGUAGGAUGGCAUUUACCUUACUCAUAUUGUCAAUAAAAGGCCAUUUUAGAAUGUUGUUUAUUUACUAGGAUUAAAGGAGCAAAAGGUUACUGAGCUAUGCAGCAAGGGUUCCAGCUUCCUUUGGAUUGUGACUUUAUCCUAACAUCCCCAUCUAAAACCUAUCCUACUUUGGGAUAUGGCUGUCAUCAGGCCACUGGAAAGGCUAAGAUGAAGGGUGGGUCAGCUGAAACCCUUUUCCAAAAAAAUAUGCCCCAAAUCCUAAGGAGGUCUUGCCUGCAGUCUGCCCUCCAUUCCUCCUGCUGACAACAAUUAGGUUUUUCCUUCUCUCUUUAAGUAGUCAAUUCAACAUGAAGUUAGCAACCCUGUUGUUACCCGUCCCUCGCCCCCAAAAGAAAAGCAGAAAGGUAACAUACAGCCCAGGCCCUGCACCCCCGUGAGAGAAGCUAUCUCCCUGAAGCAUCAGUCUCCACAAUGCUUAAGUUCUUCCAGAACCCAACAUCCCUCAGUAAGAUGAGAACAAGCCAGUGCCUGUCAUCCCUGAGGGGCACUCUUUCUUAAAGGCACGUUAUUAUUGAUUAUUGCUGUUAGCCACACUGUUAUUAGUACUCAGUACUAGAGAAACAGUCCCAAGGACCUCGGGCCUGAAGCUAACGACUGCUAAUUGCACACACAUCUUUCCUUUAGUUCCAGUCCUGGGCUCCUCACUCAGCAUGUGUGCAACUUGAACCGAGUCCCUGAAGCCUCCCAAGAACCACUUGCGCCACCUGUCUGUUACCCAAUCACAUCAGGGAUCUCCAAGCACCAGCUUAGCCUCUGGCUCCACCUAAUGGCAAGAUGUUCCUUUCUCCCAUUUCACAGUGUAUUUGCUGCUAAGGAGCUAAAAGUACUUCACACAUGAUGUCAGGGAUCCUCCUCUCUGGUCUAGACAAUCAAGAAAACAAUCAAUCAAGCUGACUUCCUAGACUUAAACGCUCACAUUGAAAAUUUAACAGUCGGCUCAAGUUGGCCCCAGCCCAUCACCUCAAGAAUCCCUCUGCAGCCUCUCGGAGAUGCCCGCUUUUCUCUCAGCCUGACCGCGGCCUACAAGUCCCAGGCUGCCUCGCGGGGCGGCGUUCCUCCCCUCGCAUUCCCCCUCUCUCCCUUGGGCAGAGUGAAUAAAGGUUCCGUUGUGGGCUCA